CAGCAGCCGCGGUAAUACCGGCGGCCCGAGUGGCGGCCACUAUUAUUGGGCUUAAAGCGUCCGUAGCCGGGUUGGGAAGUCCUCCGGGAAAUCUGGCCGCUUAACGGUCAGAAUGCCGGAGGAUACUCCCAGCCUAGGGAGCGGGAGAGGCCGAGGGUAUUCCCGGAGUAGGGGUGAAAUCCUAUAAUCCCGGGAGGACCACCUGUGGCGAAGGCGCUCGGCUGGAACGCGUCCGACGGUGAGGGACGAAGGCCAGGGGAGCAAACCGGAUUAGAUACCCGGGUAGUCCUGGCGGUAAACGAUGCGGACUUUGUGUCGGACAAGCUAUGAGCUUGUCCGGUGCCGGAGGGAAACCGUUAAGUCCGCCGCCUGGGGAGUACGGCCGCAAGGCUGAAACUUAAAGGAAUUGGCGGG
rnacentral:rRNA from 1 species